ACUCUGGGGAUAACAGGCUGAUACCGCCCAAGAGUUCAUAUCGACGGCGGUGUUUGGCACCUCGAUGUCGGCUCAUCUCAUCCUGGGGCUGUAGCCGGUCCCAAGGGUAUGGCUGUUCGCCAUUUAAAGAGGUACGUGAGCUGGGUUUAAAACGUCGUGAGACAGUUUGGUCCCUAUCUGCCGUGGGCGUUGGAUAUUUGAAGGGGGCUGCUCCUAGUACGAGAGGACCGGAGUGGACGAACCUCUGGUGUACCGGUUGUCACGCCAGUGGCAUCGCCGGGUAGCUAUGUUCGGAAGAGAUAACCGCUGAAAGCAUCUAAGCGGGAAACUCGCCUUAAGAUGAGAUAUCCCUGGGGACUAGAUCCCCUUGAAGGGUCGUUCGAGACCAGGACGUUGAUAGGUCAGGUGUGUAAGCGCAGUAAUGCGUUCAGCUAACUGAUACUAAUUGCCCGUAAGGCUUGAUCCU
rnacentral:rRNA from 2 species